rnacentral:rRNA from 1 species
GAUGAACGCUGGCGGCGUGCCUAAUACAUGCAAGUCGAGCGAACGGACGAGAAGCUUGCUUCUCUGAUGUUAGCGGCGGACGGGUGAGUAACACGUGGAUAACCUACCUAUAAGACUGGGAUAACUUCGGGAAACCGGAGCUAAUACCGGAUGAUAUUUUGAACCGCAUGGUUCAAAAGUGAAAGACGGUCUUGCUGUCACUUAUAGAUGGAUCCGCGCUGCAUUAGCUAGUUGGUAAGGUAACGGCUUACCAAGGCAACGAUGCAUAGCCGACCUGAGAGGGUGAUCGGCCACAGUGGAACUGAGACACGGUCCAGACUCCGACGGGAGGCAGCAGUAGGGAAUCUGCCGCAAUGGGCGAAAGCCUGACGGAGCAACGCCGCGUGAGUGAUGAAGGUCUUCGGAUCGUAAAACUCUGUUAUUAGGGAAGAACAUAUGUGUAAGUAACUGUGCACAUCUUGACGGUACCUAAUCAGAAAGCCACGGCUAACUACGUG